rnacentral:rRNA from 1 species
GACGAACGCUGGCGGCGUGCUUAACACAUGCAAGUCGAACGGAAAGGCCCUGCUUUUGUGGGGUGCUCGAGUGGCGAACGGGUGAGUAACACGUGAGUAACCUGCCCUUGACUUUGGGAUAACUUCAGGAAACUGGGGCUAAUACCGGAUAGGAGCUCCUGCUGCAUGGUGGGGGUUGGAAAGUUUCGGCGGUUGGGGAUGGACUCGCGGCUUAUCAGCUUGUUGGUGGGGUAGUGGCUUACCAAGGCUUUGACGGGUAGCCGGCCUGAGAGGGUGGCCGGCCACAUUGGGACUGAGAUACGGCCCAGACUCCUACGGGAGGCAGCAGUGGGGAAUAUUGCACAAUGGGCGGAAGCCUGAUGCAGCAACGCCGCGUGCGGGAUGACGGCCUUCGGGUUGUAAACAGCUUUCGCCUGUGACGAAGCGUGAGUGACGGUAAUGGGUAAAGAAGCACCGGCUAACUACGUG